UACAGAGGUCUCAAGCGUUGUUCGGAUUCAUUGGGCGUAAAGGGCGCGUAGGCGGUCAGGUCAGUCCCGUGUGAAAUCCCUCGGCUCAACUGAGGAACUGCACGGGAAACUGCCUGGCUUGAGUUCGGGAGAGGGAAGCGGAAUUCCGGGUGUAGCGGUGAAAUGCGUAGAUAUCCGGAGGAACACCGGUGGCGAAGGCGGCUUCCUGGACCGACACUGACGCUGAGGCGCGAAAGCUAGGGGAGCAAACGGG
rnacentral:rRNA from 1 species